rnacentral:lncRNA from 1 species
AGAAGUGGAGGCGGGUGCUUCCAGGUGCCUUGCUGCUAGUUCCAUGCUGUAGCUGAGGAUGCUGGAGUGGUUUGUGUGUCCUGCUUUGUAUGCUACUGCUGGGUGCUGUGAGGGGAAUUCAGGCGAGCUCUGACCUCGCGACAUGGAUCAUCGCCAGCCGCUGUGGGUUCCAGAGCGAUUGACGAGGGUAGUUCAAGAUGGACAGAGGUGCCCUGUCGAAGCUGCACCUGAGGGUGAUGAUGCUGCCUGCAGUGAUGACUGAAGAUCUACGAUGGGCCCCCUUUUGUAGGGGUAUUCGAGAUUUGUUGCCCCCAUGGACCAGCUGCCAGUCCAGGAAAGCUGAGUGGGCCAUGAAAAAAUAUUUUACCUUUUCCCCUUAUAUUAGUACCAGUCAUAAAUCAAACGUUUUCAGGGUUUAAUUGGACGUAUCAAAAUCCAGCCCAGAGAGGGGCAAGCAAUCCCUUUAAUGUUUGGCUGUUGUGUGGGAUAAAUUGGGAGUUGUACAGAUCUUCUUCUUUGAGUAUGUUGACGGGUGGGGCAUGGGGAAAUACUAGAUUUUAUUGGAAUGGAUCUGUAUUAUUUGAGUCUUCUGUUAUUCAAUUUGCUUAUGGGAAGAAUGUAUUCUUUAAAGCCAC